AUGCCUAGCGCGGGGCUGGAGGCGGGGUCGAACAAGGUGGACGUGGCCAUCGACCUCGGGAACCCGCUCCUCAACCGCACCGUCGACGGCUUCCUCAAGAUCGGCGCCGUCGGCGCCUGCAGGGUGGUCGCCGAGGACGCCUUCGACUGCAUCCACAGGGGGGAUAUCUCGAAGCGCCAGCUUGAAGAGACGCUGAAGAAAAUGUGCAAGGAGGGUGCAUAUUGGGGUGCUGUUGCUGGAGUGUAUGUAGGCAUGGAGUAUGGAGUGGAAAGGGUCCGCGGAGAGUAUGACUGGAAAAAUGCGUUGAUUGGAGGCAUCGCAAGCGGCGCCCUGAUCUCUGCUGCUAGCAACAACAAAGGGAACAAGAUCGCCAAGGAUGCCAUCACCGGAGGUGCCAUCGCAACCGCCAUCGAGUUCAUCAACUACCUCACCUAG
rnacentral:rRNA from 1 species